rnacentral:lncRNA from 1 species
GCUGCCUGUGCAGCCUCCUUCAGGCUUUCUUGAGAUCUCUACACUCAGACAUGACAGCAAAGUGGUCCAUGUCUACCUUGGCUUGGAAUUCCUGGCCGGUCACUGCUCCCAUGCUGUUCUUAGUGGCCUCUCCUCACACUUAGGACAGAAGUGCCAUUGCAGGGGUGGGCCUAGCCAGGGACACAAGUGCUCCAGCCAACCAAACUGCCUAACAGCACAAGCUAAGAAGAUUGUGGUUCUGGGUCCAGAGUUACUGGAAGUGGUCCAAGGAUCUCCCUUCACGUUGAGUGUACAGCUGCAGCAAGAUGACGGGGAAGUUGCCAAAACGGGUUCCAGUGCAUUCCCUACCCUCUGUCUGUGUCAACAUCCUGGGGUCUGGAGCCUGGGUCCACUGUGGAAAGCGCCAGAGCUGACCUGCUACUCUCCAAGAAAGACUCAGAGCCAGUGCUGGACUCGGAAGCCUUCCAUGGCAAGGGAGACACCCUCAGCAUCCUGCCAGCCAGGAGACAUGAACCCUGCUGUUCUGCUGCCUAUCAGCGAGUGGACCAAGGCUGUGCUGAGUUUGUGGACAUUCACCUUGGAGCCCCUCCGCCUGGGAUGCAGCCCUAUCUGUUCCUGCCCAGCAUGCUUGAGAAGGCUGGCAACAGGCCUAAAGGUGACCGGAGUCCCCCGGAGGUGUUGUCCACUGCCCAGGAACCUCUAAGAGGCACCAACAGGUCUGAUGGGACCACAGCAGAGCCAUCGACAGCUGCAUAUCUAGGACACCCUGCCUGUCCCUCACAGGGGAGUAUGUGCUCAUGGUCUGUGACGUCACCAGCCCUCCAUUCCUGGGCCACAGGCUGCCCACCACCUUCAAACACCUGCGGAUCCUGGCAAGGGGGGACAUCCACUUGCCCCAUGUCCCUGAAGAUCACCCAGAAGCUCUAAGCUAGAGGCCACUCCUGGCCAUUGGACAUAAGGGAACCAGCAAUAUCCUCAAGGGAAGGUCAGGGACCAAAUCCUCUAUUCCUAAACAAUCUGAGAGCUGGGGACGGCCCUGUGAGCCCCACAGCUACUGACUUCAAUAAAACUCUAAAAUACC